GCGCUGCAGUCGAGAAACCUUCGCAAUGCGGGAAACCGCGACGAGGGACUCCCAGUGCCUACGCUCAGCGUAGGCUGUUCCCGAGCCUAGAAAGCUCGGGGAGUAAGGGCUGGGUAAGACGGGUGCCAGCCGCCGCGGUAAUACCCGCAGCCCGAGUGGUGGCCACUAUUAUUGGGCCUAAAGCGUCCGUAGCCGGCCCGGUAAAUGCCUGGGUAAAUCGUGAGGCCUAACCUCACGAAUUCCGGGUAGACUGCCGGGGCUAGGGACCGGAGGAGGGAGAGGGGUACUCCAGGGGUAGGGGUGAAAUCCUGUAAUCCCUGGAGGACCACCGGUGGCGAAGGCGCUCUCCUAGGACGGGUCCGACGGUGAGGGACGAAAGCCAGGGGAGCGAACCGGAUUAGAUACCCGCGUAGU
rnacentral:rRNA from 1 species